GGCAUAUUGGACAAUGGGCGCAAGCCUGAUCCAGCCAUGCCGCGUGAGUGACGAAGGUCUUCGGAUUGUAAAGCUCUUUUGGCGGGGACGAUAAUGACGGUACCCGCAGAAUAAGCCCCGGCUAACUUCGUGCCAGCAGCCGCGGUAAUACGAAGGGGGCUAGCGUUGUUCGGAAUUACUGGGCGUAAAGCGCACGUAGGCGGACCUAUAAGUCAGGGGUGAAAUCCCGGGGCUCAACCUCGGAAUUGCCUUUGAUACUGUGGGUCUCGAGACCGGAAGAGGUGAGUGGAAUUCCUAGUGUAGAGGUGAAAUUCGUAGAUAUUAGGAAGAACACCAGUGGCGAAGGCGGCUCACUGGUCCGGUUCUGACGCUGAGGUGCGAAAGCGUGGGGAGCAAA
rnacentral:rRNA from 1 species